CGGCGGAACUGCUGGCCGAUGUCUUUUUCAAACCCAUUUUACUAAACACUGAUCUAUACUCCGAGGACGAAAGUCUUUGGUUUUAAUCCAUUAACAACUUUCAGCAGUGGAUGUCUAGGCUCGCACAUCGAUGAAGAACGCUGCGAACUGCGAAUACG
rnacentral:rRNA from 1 species